CAAGCUCCGAGGUGUUCAACAUAUUAGAUUGCAAAUCUUAAGUGGCAGAGUAGUUGCUGCCGGGGC
rnacentral:tRNA from 1 species